CCUACGGGCGGCAGCAGUGGGGAAUAUUGGGCAAUGGGCGCAAGCCUGAUCCAGCAACGCCGCGUGAAGGAAGAAGUCUUUCGGUUUGUAAACUUCUUUUAUCAGGGACGAAGCAAGUGACGGUACCUGAUGAAUAGUCCACGGCUAACUACGUGCCAGCAGCCGCGGAAAUACGUAGGUGGCAAGCGUUAUCCGGAUUUACUGGGUGUAAAGGGCGUGUAGGCGGGAGUGCAAGUCAGAUGUGAAAACUAUGGGCUCAACCCAUGGCCUGCAUUUGAAACUGUACGUCUGGAGUGCUGGAGAGGCAGUCGGAAUUCCGUGUGUAGCGGUGAAAUGCGUAGAUAUAAGGAGGAACACCAGUGGCGAAGGCGGAUUGCUGGACAGUAACUGACGCUGAGGCGCGAAAGCGUGGGGAGCAAACAGGAUUAGAUACCCCAGUAGUC
rnacentral:rRNA from 1 species